rnacentral:misc_RNA from 1 species
UUGAAGAUCUGCCUUAGUCUGAG